rnacentral:rRNA from 1 species
CUAUGCGCCUUGCCCACGCCCGCCUCAGAAACUUAAAGGAAUUGACGGGGGCCCGCACAAGCAGCGGAGCGUGUUGCUUAAUUCGAUGUUACGCGAAGAACCUUACCUGGGUUUUGACAUGUAGGGAAAAGCUCUGGAGACAGGGUGUCCUAACGGGCCCUACACAGGUGGUGCAUGGCUGUCGUCAGCUCGUGUCGUGAGGUGUUGGGUUAAGUCCCGCAACGAGCGCAACCCUUAUCCUAUGUUGCCAGCGGGUAAUGCCGGGGACUCGUAGGAGACUGCCGGGGUCAACUCGGAGGAAGGUGGGGAUGAAGUCAAGUCAUCAUGCCCCUUAUGCCCAGGGCUGCAAACACGCUACAAUGGCCGGUACAGAGGGCUGCGAUCCCGUGAGGGUGAGCGAAUCCCACAAAGCCGGUCUCAGUUCGGAUUGGAGUCUGCAACUCGACUCCAUGAAGCCGGAGUUGCUAGUAAUCCCGGAUCAGCACGCCGGGGUGAAUACGUUCCCGGGCCUU